rnacentral:rRNA from 1 species
UAGGGAAUCUUCGGCAAUGGGGGGAACCCUGACCGAGCAACGCCGCGUGAGUGAAGAAGGUUUUCGGCUCGUAAAGCUCUGUUGUUAAGGAAGAACGAGUGUGAGAAUGGAAAGUUCAUACUGUGACGGUACUUAACCAGAAAGGGCCGGCUAACUACGUGCCAGCAGCCGCGGUACUACGUAGGUCCCGCGCGUUGUCCGGAUUUAUUGGGCGUAAAGCGAGCGCAGGCGGUUUUUUAAGUCUGAUGUGAAAGCCCACGGCUCAACCGUGGAGGGUCAUUGGAAGCUGGAAAGCUUGAGUGCAGAAGAGGAAAGUGGAAUUCCAUGUGUAGCGGUGAAAUGCGCAGAAAUAUGGAGGAACACCAGUGGCGAAGGCGACUUUCUGGUCUGUAAAUGACGCUGAUGUGCGAAAGCGUGGGGAUCAAACAGG